rnacentral:rRNA from 1 species
UAAUACGAAGGGGGCUAGCGUUGCUCGGAAUUACUGGGCGUAAAGGGCGCGUAGGCGGACAGUUUAGUCAGAGGUGAAAGCCCAGGGCUCAACCUUGGAAUUGCCUUUGAUACUGGCUGUCUUGAGUACGGGAGAGGUGUGUGGAACUCCGAGUGUAGAGGUGAAAUUCGUAGAUAUUCGGAAGAACACCAGUGGCGAAGGCGACACACUGGCCCGUUACUGACGCUGAGGCGCGAAAGCGUGGGGAGCAAACAGGAUUAGAUACCCUGGUAGUCCACGCCGUAAACGAUGAGUGCUAGUUGUCGGCAUGCAUGCAUGUCGGUGACGCAGCUAACGCAUUAAGCACUCCGCCUGGGGAGUACGGUCGCAAGAUUA